ACUUGACAACAUUUUGAAGAAGUUGCAAGUAACUGAAUAUGGACAACUACAUCGUUAAACUGUGCAAAAUUCUCGCCUGGAAGGUGGAGUGCUUGACACGCACGAUUCUCAUUCUCUUGUAUACAUUAUCUGAUGCUCCUGCUAAUAAUUUGCCAUUAUAAAUGCUUGACAUUAUUUGGUCAAUAUAAGGGUUUUCUGGAGAACUAGUAUCAUUUCCUAAGGAGAUAAAUGUGCAGACCCUUACUGAAAAGCAAGCUUUAAUGUCUCAUAGUUAUGACUGUGAAAUCAUUAAUAAGAUGAAAAGUGAAAAGUUUAAUGUUUUCUUAUCUACUCAUUGAGCCAUCUAAGUUUUAAUUGUUUAUAUUAGUGAGAUAAUCUUAUUCAUAAAACUUUAGGUCUAUUUUCUCUUUUAUAAUAUGAACCAGCCUUAUUAUCAAGAGUGCAAAUUUUAUGAAAAAUUCACACAUACGAAGAUAAAAUAAUUAAACAGAGAAUUUAGAAUUGUUUAAAUUCUUUUGUUGGAAUAUUAUUAAAGCUACAAUCAAGGAAUUAUAACACAUGUACCUAAAAAUAAUUUACACAGACUAAGUGGAUGUUACGUGAUACUUUUAAUUCAUCAACGACAUAGAAACAAACAACUAAAGAGUACUGGCUAUGAACUUAUGGUGCUAAGAUUUUUGCCAAUGGAAAAAAAAUUUGAAUUCUAUCAUUUUGUUUUAGCAUGUAAUGUAAUUGGUGAAAUUACAUAAUUAUAAAAUUAGUACAAGCAACAAGGUAUAAUAUUAUCUUUUAAAGAAUGUCUGUAAUAAGACUAAUUUUUUCACUCAAAAUAUAAUGAAUACAUGUAUUUUUUAAGUGCAGCUGAGAACUUUUGGAAUGGAACAAUUCUUUAAAUUUUGUGCUACUUGAUCUGUGUAUGUUUGUAUUGUUUUUAACAUAAUAAAAGUUCCUAUCUUUCUACAUUAA
rnacentral:lncRNA from 1 species